AACGCUAGCUACAGGCUUAACACAUGCAAGUCGAGGGGAAACGACAUCGAAAGCUUGCUUUUGAUGGGCGUCGACCGGCGCACGGGUGAGUAACGCGUAUCCAACCUGCCCACCACUUGGGGAUAACCUUGCGAAAGUAAGACUAAUACCCAAUGAUAUCUCUAGAAGACAUCUGAAAGAGAUUAAAGAUUUAUCGGUGAUGGAUGGGGAUGCGUCUGAUUAGCUUGUUGGCGGGGUAACGGCCCACCAAGGCAACGAUCAGUAGGGGUUCUGAGAGGAAGGUCCCCCACAUUGGAACUGAGACACGGUCCAAACUCCUACGGGAGGCAGCAGUGAGGAAUAUUGGUCAAUGGACGAGAGUCUGAACCAGCCAAGUAGCGUGCAGGAAGACGGCCCUAUGGGUUGUAAACUGCUUUUAUAAGGGAAUAAAGUGAGAGUCGUGACUCUUUUUGCAUGUGCCUUAUGAAUAAGGACCGGCUAAUUCCGUGCCAGCAGCCGCGGUAAUACGGAAGGACCGGGCGUUAUCCGGAUUUAUUGGGUUUAAAGGGAGCGUAGGCCGGAGAUUAAGCGUGUUGUGAAAUGUAGAUGCUCAACAUCUGAACUGCAGCGCGAACUGGUUUCCUUGAGUACGCACAAAGUGGGCGGAAUUCGUGGUGUAGCGGUGAAAUGCUUAGAUAUCACGAAGAACU
rnacentral:rRNA from 1 species